GAUCCUGAGGAGGGACUCUUUGGUACAGCAGGAAUAGUUUACUCUCUCUUUGGAAAUAUUCCUCCACACUUUGCAAUAAAUCCUAAAUCAGGGGAUGUUACUGUGGCUUCGUGUAAUGGGAAUGUUGGUGUUGGACCAGAAUGUAUAGACUAUGAAA
rnacentral:sRNA from 1 species